rnacentral:rRNA from 2 species
GUUCAAGAGUACGUGAAACCGUUCGGAGGUAAACGAGUGGGCCCUCGAAGUGUGAAGGCGGGGGGACUCAGCCGAACGCCGUUGAGCCCGCCGGCGGGUCCGCGCUUCCCUCCCGGGACGCGGCCCGCCGGUGUGCUGGCUCCGGCUUGCGGCGCAUUUCCUCCCGUCCUCCGACGCCGCGACCGGUCGGGCGCGCCACGAGCAGUCGGCCUUACUCGCGGGAAACGGAAGGUAGCCGGGUCGGCGCGCACGCGUCGCUCCCCGGUGUUCUAGCCGUCCCGCAAUCGAGUCAGCCGUUCGCCCGACCGCAGGAACCAAGGCCCUCAGGGGCCCCGCCGUGCCCUCCCCGCUCGGGGAUCGCUUGCCGUCUCGGAAGGGAUGCCGCUUGUCCCCGCGCCGCACCUCCGGUGCGCGUGGGGCGGCGGCGCCCGCUGGCCGGGGCGUUUGCGAUUCGGGUGCUGGCGGUCCGCGGCGAGUAGGUCGGUCACCCACUCGACCCGUCUUGAAACACGGACCAAGGAGUUUAACAUGCACGCGAGUCACUGGGUCGUGAGCAGGCCCAAGGGCGCAAUGAAAGUGAAGGGCGGCACAUGCCGUCCGCGUUGGGAUCCUCCGGCCUCCGUGCCGGGGGCGCACCAACGGCUCGUCCGGGCCGCCACGUCGGCCGGGCGAAGCUAGAGCGUGCACGUUGAGACCCGAAAGAUGGUGAACUAUGGCUGGGCAGGACGAAGCC